UACGUAGGGGGCUAGCGUUGUCCGGAAUCAUUGGGCGUAAAGGGCGCGUAGGCGGCCGAUCAAGUCAGAUGUGAAAGUCCUGGGCUUAACCUGGGGACUGCAUUUGAUACUGAUUGGCUUGAAUUCGGGAGAGGAUAGCGGAAUUCCCAGUGUAGAGGUGAAAUUCGUAGAUAUUGGGAAGAACACCGGUGGCGAAGGCGGCUAUCUGGACCGACAUUGACGCUGAUGCGCGAAAGCGUGGGGAGCAAACAGG
rnacentral:rRNA from 1 species